GAGAGCCGGGAGACGCAGUGGUGAGCAGGGGCAGGCUGUGGCCUUUAAGUCCAGUGCCCAGAUCUCACCACUGAAAUCCAGAGCCACAUUUCCAACAGCUUCCCACGGCUGCAGCCACAUGUCCCGCAGACAUACCAAUGAGCGAACGCAAGCUCUUGAGUUUCUGCCCCAAACUUGCCCCUGCCCAGUCUCUCCCAGAUCCACAGACCCACGUCCACUCUCCAGACACCCAGGCUUGGAGCUCAGAAGCCCCUCUGGCUCCUCCUCCACUUGUCCCUCACAUUCAGCCCCCAGGCAAGUCCUGUUAGCAGAUUCUCACCACUCUUACCACCUCCCGCUACAGCCCUUGACCAAGCCAUCAACUUCCAUCUGGGUCAUCAUACAGUCAUUCUCACUCGUGUGCACCCCUGCCUCCCUCAGGGCUUUCACCCAGCAGUGACCAUGCCCCUUCUCAGACAUGAGUCAGACCACAUCACUCGGCUCACUCUGACAAGAGGCCUUACGAGGCUCUGCAACCACAUCCUCUCAGCCUGGCUCCUCCAUCCUCAUCACCUACUGCUCUCCUCUUGCUCCCUUGGCUCCAGCUGCUCCUUACCAAAUCCACUCCCACCUCAGGGCCCCUGCACUAAUUACUUCCCUCCCCCAGCUGUGCUCACUGCCUCGUUUCCUCCUCGUCUCCAUCCAAGUGUCUCCCCUUUGAGAGGCCUUCACCUCCCCUCUUCUCCAUAGCUCUGAAUUUUUUCAUAGCUCUUCUUGUCCCCAGCAUAUAUUUGUUUGUUCACUGCCUGGGAAUUCCAGAAAGCCAAGACCACUUUCAGGUUUGUUCAAGGCACUGGGGAUGCAGCAGUGGAGAGCGGACAACCCGGAGACAGCCCCUGAAAUGCUGGCAUGAACACCGACAGAGCUCUUGUGACCACCAGAGGUUUCCAUAUACUCAGAGCCGCCUCUGAGGGUGAGACUGUUAGGCCGGUUCAGGAGCAGGUGAAAGCCCAGAGCCCAAGUCGUGGCGGCACAAUGGAGAGUCACCAGAGCUGGAGUCCUCCCCACGGACAGCAGCGAGAUUACACACCAGGGAUCCAUCUUACCUUCCUUGUCCACGCGGAAACCAAACUCAUCGUAGCAGAACUCUGGUUGUUCCACUGACUCUUCCUUCUAGAACCAGGAUUAGGAAGAGUCAGUUGUAUGGCCACCAGUCUGGGACCACAGAUUCUAGAAGAUGUCACCCACACUCCUGCCUGCUGAAAUUGAAAUGCCGGCCUUCAAGACUCAGAUCAAAGGCCACACCUUCCUUGAAGCCUCUGUGGUCAUCACUCAGCUACAGGGGCCACCACCUUCUCAAACUGGCCUAGCAUUUUCCUUGUUCUCCUCAGAGGUCAAAGAUAGUAAGAUCAAGGCCAACUGACUCCCCAAGACUAAACUGCAUCUUGUUUCCCUCUGCAUCCCUGGCACUCAGAAGUCUCUCAAUAAGCAUUUGUUAGAUAAAUUAGACAAAUGAAUGAACAUCAGCAAAUGAAAAAAAAAAGUAAAUAAAAGUCAUAUUUCACACCACUGUAAUAACUAACUGGUGUUUUAUUUACCCCAUAUUCUCCCUUCUUCUGGGUGUCUGGAAAACAGCA